rnacentral:lncRNA from 1 species
ACGGAUGGCCCAGGGCUCCAAAGGCUCGUUUCCUAAGUGAGAGAGAGCCUGGCUGAAGCUGUAUUACCAUUCAUUCUCCAGCCUCCGAAGUCUCAAAGCAUCACUUCCACCAUACUCUAACUGUCAAGACAAACACAAAGGCCCAGACAUUACAUGUAAAUGGAAUCAUACAAUAUGUGAUCUUUUGUGACUGGCUUCUUUCACUUAGCAUAACGUUUUCAAGGUUUGUUCGUGUUGUAGCAGAAACUGCCAGACUGUCUUCUGAAGUGGCUAUAAUAUUUACACUCCCAUCAGCAGUGUAGAAGGGGUCUCACUAUGUUGUCUGGAGUGCUGUGGUGGAGUGGAGUGGCUAUUCACAGAGCCUGUUCUGCUGGGACACAGAAUCACUUGCUCCAUCUCAUACAUUGAUGAUGAUUAAUUUGUAUGUGUACCUUCCAAAAAAGAUGGUUGUGUUUGAAUGGAGGCCUUCUGGACAGGAAAAUAUGGAGAGUGCGUGCUUUGGAUUCAAGACUGGGAAUGAGGGGACCAGAAACCUAUUCUGUGGCUGUUUCUUGUUAGGACUUUCCUAAGCCUCUGGAAAAGUGCAAAGUACAAUUAACAUUUGAGUCUGUCUGAGUCAUGAAGAAAUGGAGAUUACUGAAAAUAAUUCAUUUUGGUAUCUUCUUACAUCCUGAGAGACUAAUCUUUCCAAGUUCAUCUGAGGCUCCUCUUCUCCAUGACAACCUCAUCCAGGGAUUUCUUCCUGUCCUGGUGUUUUAUGACAUGUGGAAGGGGACUGUAGCAGGUGAUCUCCAAAGUCUCUGGAGACUUACUAAUGUGCAUCCUCAUCUCGCUUGUAAGGAUAAUAGCCUUCCUCCAAACCUCACACACUUUUGGAGGAGAUCACUUUUUUUAAAGUGCAUGGAAAUGUUUUGAAACAGUGAAAUCUAUAAUGAUAGGUUUCAUAAUUCUAACAUCCACACCAUAUGAAUCACAUCCUUCCUGAGAUAAUGAGCACACAAUUGCCUGGAUACCUGAAGGAAUGGAGACAGCGGCAGAAAACACUGCAGAGAGGUGGAAACAUCCGUUAAUAUUUUAAAAUCCCAUUACUGCUACCAACAAUAAUAAUGGAUGCAUAGAAAUAGAUCUGGAUUAGCUGAGCUUGAAACAGUCCAUCUCACACACACACAAAAGAAUUUCAGGUAAUGAAGAAAAGAAAAGGAAAAAAAUAA